UCAGCAGAGUUAAAAUUACGGUGUUAAUGGAAAUAUAAAGAGUUCGGAGUUAAUUUAACACUGGAUUGAGUUAAAACUAUUUUAUUUAACUCUACAAAAAUAAAGAGUUGGUGUCAAAACAGAGUGUUACCACUUUUUUUAAAAAUCAACUCCCACAGUGUUUUGUUAGUGGAGUUUGUUAACUCUUAGGGUGUUAAAUAGAGAAGACCUCCCCCUUUUUACAGCACACACUGAACCGUGUUUUUGGAUGAUGCAGUUCAAGCAGAAGAUCAUCUCUUUCACUGUAAAUGGAGAUUUGCUUUGGGGACUUUAGAGGAGCACAGAAAUAGGCCUACAUGAAAAUUUCUUCAGACGAAGAGCAAUUUUAUAACAAAAAAAGUUCAAUAUCCAGUCUGAAGGUCUGACCGUCGAGGAUCAUAUCACCUCCUUACAGCUACUGGUUCAUCAUAUUCUGCUGUUAAUAUGUGAAGACCAACAUGGAUUUUGGAUUGAAAAGUCAAACUGUUUGUAUGAACUGAAGCAUCCCAUACUCU